rnacentral:rRNA from 1 species
ACCUGCGGAAGGAUCAUUGUU